rnacentral:rRNA from 1 species
GAUGAACGCUGGCGGCGUGCCUAACACAUGCAAGUCGAACGCUCGCAAGAGAGUGGCGCACGGGUGGGUAACACGUAGCUAAUCUGCCCUCAAGACAAGGAUAACUGUAGGAAACUACUGCUAAUACUUGAUAAGCUUACGGACUGUAGAGGUCUAUAAGAAAGAUUUAUCGCUUGAGGAUGAGGCUGCGCGCCAUCAGCUAGUUGGUAAGGUAAUGGCUUACCAAGGCGACGACGGCUAGGGGACCUGAGAGGGUGACCCCCCACACUGGGACUGAGACACGGCCCAGACUCCUACGGGAGGCUGCAGACGAGAAUAUUCCGCAAUGGGCGAAAGCCUGACGGAGCGACGCCGCGUGAUUGAUGAAGUGCUUCGGUACGUAAAGAUCUUUUUAUCGGGGACGAAGUUUAUUGACGGUACCCGAUGAAUAAGGGGCUCCUAACUCUGUGCCAGCAGCCGCGGUAAU